rnacentral:rRNA from 2 species
UGAGGAAUAUUGGUCAAUGGACGAGAGUCUGAACCAGCCAAGUAGCGUGAAGGAUGAAGGUCCUACGGAUUGUAAACUUCUUUUAUAAGGGAAUAAACCCUCCCACGUGUGGGAGCUUGUAUGUACCUUAUGAAUAAGCAUCGGCUAACUCCGUGCCAGCAGCCGCGGUAAUACGGAGGAUGCGAGCGUUAUCCGGAUUUAUUGGGUUUAAAGGGAGCGCAGACGGGUCGUUAAGUCAGCUGUGAAAGUUUGGGGCUCAACCUUAAAAUUGCAGUUGAUACUGGCGUCCUUGAGUGCGGUUGAGGUGUGCGGAAUUCGUGGUGUAGCGGUGAAAUGCUUAGAUAUCACGAAGAACUCCGAUUGCGAAGGCAGCACACUAAUCCGUAACUGACGUUCAUGCUCGAAAGUGUGGGUAUCAAACA